GUUGCCCCGGUUUACCAGUACCAGACGCCGGUUUAUCACAGCGCCCUUCCGCAGCCUAUACCACCUCAGGCGUACUCACCAACCGCGGCAGCAACUCCUGGCUACCCGGAGGCCUUCCACAACGCCUACGUAGUUCCCCUACAAGGAGACGCCCCUUACCAGGGCUACGGACCUCACGCUCAGCACUUCGGCAACGACGCGUACACGGACGGACUUUACAAGAAACGAUCGCCAGCCAAGAACAAGGAGAACCAGAAGGAGACCCAAGACUCUCAACAGUCGGUGAAGAAAGAAACCAAGGCCGAAUCCGAGAAGGAAAGCGAGGAAGCGAAGAAGAAGAGGGAGGAGGAGGAGAAGAAAGAGAGGGAGGCUAGGAGUCGGAAAACCCUCCUGGAAAAGCAGAAAGAACUGAAGCAAAAGUUGACAAGGCAGUGAUGUGGCACGUAGGAACAAAAUUUAAUGACAGGACUGGAGGACUGGACAGGGUCAGGAACAGUGGCGUGGCGUGCUUUGCGAUAUAUCGAUGUAUCUGUCACUUAAACCUAUGGAAUAGGAUCGAUAAAUAGGGUGUUUGCGACGAACACCCCAAUAAUCGAUUCUUUGCCAUAGCUUUAAAUGGGGAGAUAUCGAUACUCGAUCAUUCACGCCUCGCCAUUGGUCAGGAAUAAAACACCGCGCCCAUGAAUCAGAAUGGUAGUAGCGUCUGACAACACUUGAACCGCGUUUAGCAGAAAGGGACCAAGUUACAUCAGCCAUUGCCAAAUUUAACUGGGAAAUUUAAUUCCUUACAUGAGAACGUUUGUGCGGAAACCUUUGAAAUUUUUCAUGUAUAUUCACUCCGUGCUAUCCAAAAAGUUCACUGAAAUUUGCACAAAAAUCCGCACAGCCGUUUUCAAAGGAAAUACCUAUUAAAGUGGCCAAUUAAAUUUGGCAAUAGCUGAAGUGGCUUGGUUCCUCUCUACUUAACGUGGUCCACUUGAUAACACAGGUAUGAGCAGACGCACAGCAAUAAACAUCCGGUAGAUCUAUUAGACGACUGUUUAAUUACCAGAAAUCGAGUACUAGCUAUUGGAUUUCCUGGGGAGCAUAUCGAUGGCUACGGUGCGAAUGCUCGUAUCUCCGUUUGCGACUUUGCAGACUUCUUGUCGUGCUUUAUUUUCCCUUUGAAAAGGUAUUCAACGAUAUUUCCUGAAAACUGCCCUGAUUUUUAUACUCUAUCAGGAAAAUAUUCAGUCUCGAUUUUCCUCGGAAAAAGAAACCAGGAGCGGAAAUUUUGAAACACCGCAAUGGAGAUACGUGGUUUUGUACUUCGGUCAUCGAUAUUUAACUCAAUAGUCUGGUGCCCGCUACCAUUCUUUUUUCUGCGUGCGCAGUGAAUGUUUCCCCUUGAAUAUUCCCGGUAUGUUCGACGUGUUUUGUAUGGAGUUAGAUGAGGAAACGUGUCCAACGGAUUUUAAAAUCCUUGCCCUGUUUAGUACUCCAUUUUACAGGUCUUAAUAAAUAAAAGCUGAAAAUGUCAGCAUCGAUGAGGCAUAAUUUUGGCCCUUCGUUUGAUUGGGUAAAGACACGGUCCCGACAGAUCGAUAACAUUUGAUAUCGAUGAUUUUAAAACAGACCAUCUAUUCCUUUAUGCAAUUCAGCGAGGAAAUUAAUGAUACUUCCGUAUCCGUCUGAAAUCAACUCACACGCUCAAAGAGGAAGGUCAUUCAAAUUUUAGGUCGUAAUUGGACUACAUUUUGCGACAAGGAGCCACUUUUUGUGGUUCUAUUUAGAAACAACAUACAAUGUGUGUCGUUGGUUUUCCAAUGCACAUAUUUGUCAUUAUAAGUAAGCCAGAGAUAGUGGUUUCUCAUCGCAAAAAGUGGUCUAAUUGAAGAGCACCUUCCCUUUAUGAGAGAUCACAUCUAUAUCCUCAUUCAAAAGGUUUCUUGCAACAUCCACAAAUGGACAUAAUUGGCUUUUUUACAAAAAUCCUGAAUACACGCCGCACAUUUAUGAAAGAUAAAGUAGGGUCAGUUCUACAGUUUGUCAAACGAAAGGCGGAGACAUAAAGUCAAGUUCGAAAAAAGUUCAUAAUUACCUUAUAUACAUGCACUCGAAUCAAGCCAUCGAAAAGACGGGAAACCUCAUGCAGCUACCAAGUAGUUGCAUUGUAGGUUCAUUAGAAAGUCUCUGAGAGAUAUAUUGUGACAUAUCAUCAUGUCAGGCUACGUGAUUAGAUAGAGAUGGGUAUUUCUUUUAGCCAUGAAAUGCCGAUGGUAUGAACGUAAAAAACAUUAUGACAUCGACCUCUAUGUUCCAAAUAUGAUCUAACUUUACUUUCCUGCCAGAAAACAAUACAAUUUAUUUAAAAAAUUAAAAAAAGAAAUCCAAAAAUUUCAUGUCUCGAAUCUUUUAGAAUCCAUGCAGACUCUUAAGUUUGCGUAAAAACAUUUGCAUCUAUUACAUAGUACCUCAUUUCCCCUGCAAAAUCAGAUUAAUUCAUUCCUAAGUUUGAAUACCUAUUUUUGUCGUAAAUAGCUUUUACUUCACAGCCUUUUUUCGGCUCCAAAAUCCAUCUCUAUUUCGUGGCCUGAUAUUGUGAUAUAUUCUUUAGGCAAGAAACAGCUGCAGCUAGAUAGCGCACACUUUGUAAAUAUUACUUUUAGUUGCUAACUUUAUACAGUAAAUUAUUUUAAAACCUUUUUUGCAUUAUUAAAACUCGCCGAAACCAACAAGAAAACAUGUACGUAGCGUUUUUUUCUCACAAUAUAGGUUUUAAUUAAACAUAACCAAUCGAAGACACCCGCAGUUUGAGUCGGAACAUGCACAUUUUAGAGAAACGUUCAAGCGGCAAAUACUGCUGCCCGUGAAGCAUGAGAACAAAGACUUCUUACUCAAGUUUAACAUUCGGCGAAAUUACAACCAACUCCUCAUCAUGCAUUUUGAAAGGGGUUCAAAUGUUUUUCUUCAAUCCACUAUUAAUCCAAUGUCUUAGUCUUAUAUUUCCAUAGCUUAGUCGGUAAUAAAAAGACGGAGGUAAGUCACAUCAGGCGUUGUUCGACUUAAGUAUUCUUUAAUCUUUGUAUGUGAUUGAAGAACUGGCCCAUAAAUUUUAGCGAUUUUUGCAAAGAAAAAUUUGAGCUUAAGAUAGCAAUUUGCAGUCGAAAAAUUUGGGGAUGCUUUAAUUACACUGUCUUUAAGAAAAUUCAGAGUUACAACAAUUUGAACAACGUCUGAUGCGACUCGCCUCUUUCUGCACUUUUACUCCUCUCCUGAUUUUUUACAGUUUUAUAAUUUCAUUAAAAAUUCAACUUCUUUCGCAAAUCCAAAGUCUUUCUCUUUUCUUGCUAUCGUAAUUCUCUGGGAUGUUCAAGGAAUUAAAAUCAAGAUAUACAUCAGUUCACGUACCAAAAACUUACAACAUGUUCAUUUUUAGGAUUAAUUUUGGAAUUAAAUAUUUUGAAGCCGGGCGACACUGACCGCUCUAAUUACUUUCAAAUUAAUUAGAGUGAGUUAGCGCAGCGUGGAAUUUCGCGGCGAGUCCCUGCAAUCAUCCAUUGCGUGUUUGCAGAUGCGCGCACUAAAACAAAGAACUCGCGCAACCGCGAAAUAGCUCGAGCAAGCCCGUUGCCAAAUUGAUAGGGAUACUGCACAAUUUUCCGUUGAAAAAAUGAAUUGUUCCAGCGACUUGGAUAUUAUCGCCCUUAUGUUCAAAUGUAAAUGGGCCUGCUGCACUAAAGAAAUGUAGAUACACGAGUAUAGAUCUAUCCGUCGUAGAACUAUCCAAAAAUAUCACGAUGUUAAUUUUAAAAAAGCUUGAAGACUCCAUGACGCAAAGUUUCGUGGUCCCUACUUAGGGUUUCCGAAUUUCCCUCAUUUAUGGGUGAAUUUUUUUCUUCGACCUUUAAAUUUGACUAUAUUGCUUUGAAAACGGAUUUUUACAAUGAAUUAAACCCACUGAGCACAAAAAAUACAAAAUUGAAUGGAAUAGUUAUAUUCUUCUUACAAGCUUUAAACUAGGCAUAGAGAAACCUGAAUAUUUGCAAAACCUACGAAAUGAUUUCUUUGAAAUUUCUUUUGUGUUAUAUGAGUGGGUGCGAAUAAUUUAAAUAUUCCGGGACUACUCACCCUCACAUCUAUCACGCAUAGUGCAAUGCAUCCAGACCAUUUCACCCACAAGUCUU
rnacentral:lncRNA from 1 species